rnacentral:rRNA from 1 species
AUUGAAUGCUGGCGGCAGGCCUAACACAUGCAAGUCGAGCGGAGCGGCGGACGGGUGAGUAAUGCCUAGGAAUCUGCAUGGUAGUGGGGGAUAACGUACGGAAACGGGCGCUAAUACCGCAUACUAUCAGAUGAGCCUAGGUCGGAUUAGCUAGUUGGGGGGGGAAAGGCCUACCAAGGCGACGAUCCGUAACUGGUCUGAGAGGAUGAUCCGUCACACUGGAACUUAGACACGGUCCAGACUCCUACGGGAGGCAGCAGUGGGGAAUAUUUGACAAUGGGCGAAAGCCUGAUCCAGCCAUGCCGCGUGUGUGAAGAAGGUUUUCGGAUUGUAAAGCUCUGUUAUUUGGGAAGCGUUACCUACAGAAUAAGCACCGGCUAACUUCGUGCCAGCAGCCGCGGUAAUAC